UACGUAGGUGGCAAGCGUUGUCCGGAAUUAUUGGGCGUAAAGCGCGCGCAGGUGGUUCCUUAAGUCUGAUGAUGAAGCCCACGGCUCAACCGUGGAGGGUCAUUGGAAACUGGGGGAACUUGAGUGCAGAAGAGGAAAGUGGAAUUCCAAGUGUAGCGGUGAAAUGCGUAGAGAUUUGGAGGAACACCAGUGGCGAAGGCGACUUUCUGGUCUGUAACUGACACUGAGGCGCGAAAGCGUGGGGAGCAAACAGGG
rnacentral:rRNA from 1 species